rnacentral:tRNA from 1 species
AGAACCUCAGCCUUCCAAGCUGAUGGCGCGGGUUCGAUUCCCGCUACCCGCU